UACGAGGGGGGCGAGCGUUGUUCGGAAUUACUGGGCGUAAAGCGCGCGUAGGCGGCUUUGUAAGUUAGAGGUGAAAGCCCAGGGCUUAACCCUGGAAUUGCCUUUAAGACUGCAUCGCUAGAAUCGUGGAGAGGUGAGUGGAAUUCCGAGUGUAGAGGUGAAAUUCGUAGAUAUUCGGAAGAACACCAGUGGCGAAGGCGACUCACUGGACACGUAUUGACGCUGAGGUGCGAAAGCGUGGGGAGCAAACAGG
rnacentral:rRNA from 1 species